UACGUAGGGUGCGAGCGUUGUCCGGAAUUAUUGGGCGUAAAGAGCUCGUAGGCGGUCUGUCGCGUCGAUCGUGAAAACUUGGGGCUUAACCCUGAGCUUGCGGUCGAUACGGACAUCACUGGAGUUCGGCAGGGGAGACUGGAAUUCCUGGUGUAGCGGUGAAAUGCGCAGAUACCAGGAGGAACACCGGUGGCGAAGGCGGGUCUCUGGGCCGAUACUGACGCUGAGGAGCGAAAGCGUGGGGAGCAAACAGG
rnacentral:rRNA from 1 species